GACGAACGCUGGCGGCGUGCUUAACACAUGCAAGUCGAACGGAAAGGCCCUGCUUUUGUGGGGUGCUCGAGUGGCGAACGGGUGAGUAACACGUGAGUAACCUGCCCUUGACUUUGGGAUAACUUCAGGAAACUGGGGCUAAUACCGGAUAGGAGCUCCUGCUGCAUGGUGGGGGUUGGAAAGUUUCGGCGGUUGGGGAUGGACUCGCGGCUUAUCAGCUUGUUGGUGGGGUAGUGGCUUACCAAGGCUUUGACGGGUAGCCGGCCUGGGAGGGUGACCGGCCACAUUGGGACUGAGAUGCGGCCCAGACUCCUACGGGAGGCAGCGGUGGGGAAUAUUGCACAGUGGGCGGAGGCCUGAUGCAGCAACGCCGCGUGCGGGAUGACGGCCUUCGGGUUGUAAACCGCUUUCGCCUGUGACGAAGCGUGAGUGACGGUAAUGGGUAAAGAAGCACCGGCUAACUACGUG
rnacentral:rRNA from 1 species